AUGAUUGUCAUAUGUUUGGGUAUGUUUACUGCCUCUGCCACAGCUGUGCAGGUUAACCUGAAGCCAAAGAUGGUUAGCGUGGGCACACAGACUUCAUUCAGCCCACAAACCUCCACUCCCCUCGCUAGUCCUGAACAGACAGUUGACGAUGAUGAUGAUAAUGCCACUGUCGUCAGUGACUUUUCGUGGGUGCCCGAAGAGCCGAUGGAUGAGGAGGAAUUGUUUGAUGAGGAGCCACCUUACACGUGUGACCCCCACCACAAUUGCAUUGACAAAUUCAUUGUUUGCCAAGAGGAGCCGAUGGGCCUUUUUGCCAUCUGUCCGGCCUGUUGUGAGAGGUCGGAUAGUAGCAUCGUGCAGCAGGAAGGAACUUUUGUUAAGAUCAAGCAGGUCUGUGCAUCAUGUGGCUACCACCGUUUCUGGCAAAACCAGCCAAUGCUCCACAGGAACAUGCCAACCUGCAACCUCCUGUUAAGUGGGGCCAUUCAUUUUACUGGAUGUUUGGCCACACAGACACUAAGCAAUUUCUUUCGCCAUCAGCGCCACUACACCAUCCCUGUAAUCGUUCAGGCCUGGCAGAAUGAUCAAGCCAAGAAUUUUAGUGACCUACGGGCAAUGGAUGGCGGGCUAGUUCUUGCUGGUGACUGCAGUUAA
rnacentral:lncRNA from 1 species